rnacentral:rRNA from 1 species
GACGAACGCUGGCGGCGUGCUUAACACAUGCAAGUCGAACGGAAAGGCCCUGCUUUUGUGGGGUGCUCGAGUGGCGAACGGGUGAGUAACACGUGAGUAACCUGCCCCUGACUUUGGGAUAACUUCAGGAAACUGGGGCUAAUACCGGAUAGGAGCUCCUGCUGCAUGGUGGGGGUUGGAAAGUUUCGGCGGUUGGGGAUGGACUCGCGGCUUAUCAGCUUGUUGGUGGGGUAGUGGCUUACCAAGGCUUUGACGGGUAGCCGGCCUGAGAGGGUGACCGGCCACAUUGGGACUGAGAUACGGCCCAGACUCCUACGGGAGGCAGCAGUGGAGAAUAUUGCACAAUGGGCGGAAGCCUGAUGCAGCAACGCCGCGUGCGGGAUGACGGCCUUCGGGUUGUAAACCGCUUUCGCCUGUGACGAAGCGUGAGUGACGGUAAUGGGUAAAGAAGCACCGGCUAACUACGUG